rnacentral:tRNA from 1 species
UAGUUUAAACAUUUAGAGCAACAGCCUUCUAAGCUGUGGGUAGGGAGUUCGAAUCUCUC